UACAGAGGUCUCGAGCGUUGUUCGGAUUCAUUGGGCGUAAAGGGCGCGUAGGCGGCGGGGUAAGUCUGGUGUGAAAUCUAGGAGCUCAACUCCUAAACUGCACUGGAUACUGCUCUGCUAGAGGACUGGAGAGGAGACUGGAAUUCACGGUGUAGCAGUGAAAUGCGUAGAUAUCGUGAGGAAGACCAGUGGCGAAGGCGGGUCUCUGGACAGUUCCUGACACUGAGGCACGAAGGCCAGGGGAGCAAACGGG
rnacentral:rRNA from 1 species